ACGCUAGCUACAGGCUUAACACAUGCAAGUCGAGGGGCAGCAUUUCAGUUUGCUUGCAAACUGGAGAUGGCGACCGGCGCACGGGUGAGUAACACGUAUCCAACCUGCCGAUAACUCGGGGAUAGCCUUUCGAAAGAAAGAUUAAUACCCGAUGGUAUAAUCAGACCGCAUGGUUUGAUUAUUAAAGAAUUUCGGUUAUCAAUGGGGAUGCGUUCCAUUAGGCAGUUGGUGAGGUAACGGCUCACCAAACCUUCGAUGGAUAGGGGUUCUGAGAGGAAGGUCCCCCACAUUGGAACUGAGACACGAUCCAAACUCCUACGGGAGGCAGCAGUGAGGAAUAUUGGUCAAUGGGCGCAGGCCUGAACCAGCCAAGUAGCGUGAAGGAUGACUGCCCUAUGGGUUGUAAACUUCUUUUAUAUGGGAAUAAAGUUUUCCACGUGUGGAAUUUUGUAUGUACCAUAUGAAUAAGGAUCGGCUAACUCCGUGCCAGCAGCCGCGGUAAUACGGAGGAUCCGAGCGUUAUCCGGAUUUAUUGGGUUUAAAGGGAGCGUAGGUGGACAGUUAAGUCAGUUGUGAAAGUUUGCGGCUCAACCGUAAAAUUGCAGUUGAUACUGGCUGUCUUGAGUACAGUAGAGGUGGGCGGAAUUCGUGGUGUAGCGGUGAAAUGCUUAGAUAUCACGAAGAACUCCGAUUGCGAAGGCAGCUCACUGGACUGCAACUGACACUGAUGCUCGAAAGUGUGGGUAUCAAACAGGAUUAGAUACCCUGGUAGUCCACACAGUAAACGAUGAAUACUCGCUGUUUGCGAUAUACAGUAAGCGGCCAAGCGAAAGCAUUAAGUAUUCCACCUGGGGAGUACGCCGGCAACGGUGAAACUCAAAGGAAUUGACGGGGGCCCGCACAAGCGGAGGAACAUGUGGUUUAAUUCGAUGAUACGCGAGGAACCUUACCCGGGCUUAAAUUGCAUUUGAAUAAUCUGGAAACAGGUUAGCCGCAAGGCAAAUGUGAAGGUGCUGCAUGGUUGUCGUCAGCUCGUGCCGUGAGGUGUCGGCUUAAGUGCCAUAACGAGCGCAACCCUUAUCUUUAGUUACUAACAGGUCAUGCUGAGGACUCUAGAGAGACUGCCGUCGUAAGAUGUGAGGAAGGUGGGGAUGACGUCAAAUCAGCACGGCCCUUACGUCCGGGGCUACACACGUGUUACAAUGGGGGGUACAGAAGGCAGCUACCUGGUGACAGGAUGCUAAUCCCAAAAGCCUCUCUCAGUUCGGAUCGAAGUCUGCAACCCGACUUCGUGAAGCUGGAUUCGCUAGUAAUCGCGCAUCAGCCAUGGCGCGGUGAAUACGUUCCCGGGCCUUGUACACACCGCCCGUCAAGCCAUCAAAGCCGGGGGUACCUGAAGUACGUAACAGCAAGGAGCGUCCUAGGGUAAAACUGGUAAU
rnacentral:rRNA from 1 species